rnacentral:tRNA from 1 species
GGAGAGGUGCCGGAGCGGCCGAACGGGCUUGACUCGAAAUCAAGAGAGGGCGCAAGUCCUCCCAGGGUUCGAAUCCCUGCCUCUCCGCCA